rnacentral:rRNA from 1 species
AACGAACGCUGGCGGCAUGCCUAACACAUGCAAGUCGAACGGCAGCUCCGUGAGUGCUUGCGCUCACGGGCGGCGAGCGGGGGAAGGGUCACGUAUGUACCGGAACCUUCUCUUUCGUGGGGGAUAACGUAGGGAAAGUUACUCUCAUAAAGCAUAUGACGCACGUGGGUGGGCAGGGGAUCGUUUGGCCUUUUGCGAUUGAAUGAGCCGAUGUCGGAUUAGCUAGUUGGCGGGGUAAAGGCCAAGAAAGGCGACGAUGGGCAGCCGGUCCGAGAGCAUGGUCAGCGACACUGGAGGAGAGACAGGGUCAAGACUCCUACGCUAGGCAGCAGUGGGGAAUAUUAGGCAAUGGGGGCGAGCCUGAUCCAGCCAUACGGCGUGGGUGAAGAAGGCGUUCGGGUUGGAAAGCCCUUUUGUUGGUAGAGAAAAGCAGCAGGUUAAUACGCCGCGGUACUGACGGUACCGGGAGAAUAAGCACCGGCUAACUUCGUG